rnacentral:rRNA from 1 species
AUAGAAACGAAACGGGUACGCCGGGGCAGACUGCCGUCGGUCGCCCAUCGGAUCCAAUCUGAUCCUCACGGCCAUUGGCACUUGACGAGGCGGAGUUGAAAUUCCAUACGGCCUCUCUCUUCGCCUUCGCCUGCCCCCUCUCGUGCUCGCGAGCCGCGUCAAAACCCUAGCCACCUUCUGCCCACCACAUGCACCGCGGCAGCGACCGCUCCGGCGACCCCUCCGGCCCCGCGGGCGGCGCUCGCAGCGGCGCGGACGGCAGAUUCGCACGCGGACCCUCACGCUGGUCCGGCGGCGGCGGGGGUAGCCCCCCGCCCCACCGCUCCUCCCGCGGCGGGAGCAGCGACGGCGGCGGAGGCGGAGGCGGGAGGUUCCAUCCGUACCGUGCGCCGUCUGAAUACGUUGUUGGCGGUGGUGGAACUGGAGGGUACAGAGGCGGCGGCGGCGGCGGCGACUUUGGUGAGACGGCCGGUGGAGCGAGGAGCCGCUACGGAGGCGGUGGCAGCGGCGGCGGAGGCCGUGGAGACUACUCAGAUCAUGAUAACAAAAGUGGUUAUGUUAAACUUUUUGUUGGAUCAGUUCCAAGAACAGCAAAUGAAGAUGAUGUUCGACCUUUAUUCGAGGAUCAUGGAGAUGUUCUUGAAGUUGCUUUGAUCAGGGAUAGGAAAACUGGUGAACAACAAGGCUGUUGUUUUGUUAAAUAUGCUACUUCUGAAGAGGCUGAGAGAGCCAUCAGAGCUCUGCAUAACCAGUGCACUAUUCCUGGGGCGAUGGGCCCUGUUCAGGUUAGAUAUGCUGAUGGUGAAAAGGAGCGUCAUGGGUCUAUUGAGCACAAAUUGUUUGUUGCAUCACUGAAUAAGCAAGCAACUGCAAAGGAGAUUGAAGAGAUUUUUGCUCCUUUUGGUCAUGUGGAAGAUGUUUACAUUAUGAAAGAUGGCAUGAGGCAGAGCCGAGGCUGUGGUUUUGUCAAAUUCUCAUCAAAAGAACCUGCACUUGCAGCCAUGAAUUCUCUUAGUGGGACUUACAUAAUGAGGGGGUGCGAGCAACCAUUAAUAGUUCGAUUUGCUGAUCCGAAGAGGCCUAGACCUGGAGAAUCAAGGGGUGGCCCUGCAUUCGGAGGUCCUGGUGUCAGUUCUCGAUCUGAUGCAGCACUAGUUAUCAGGCCGACUGCCAAUCUUGAUGAGCAAAUAGGUCGACACAUGCCUCCUGACAGUUGGCGCCCUUCAAGCCCAAGCUCAAUGGCACCUCAUCAGUUUAAUAACUUUGGGUCUGACAAUUCUAUGGGCCUGAUGGGCGGCCCUGUUACAUCAGCAGCAGAUAAUGUUACUUUUCGGCCUCAGAUGUUUCAUGGGAAUGGUUCUUUGUCAAGUCAGACAGCUGUGCCGACAUCAUCUCAUAUGGGCAUAAAUCCUUCCUUGUCACAAGGGCAUCAUCUAGGUGGGCCACAGAUCUCGCCCUUGCAAAAGCCAACUGGCCAACCGCAGAAUUUCCCUGUACAGUUGCAGAAUGCUCAGCAAGGGCAGCUUCAUGCCUCACAAUCCUUGGGGCCUGGUUCUUUUGGCCAGAAUAUACCAACUAUGCAAUUACCUGGCCAGCUCCCUGUGUCACAACCGUUGACGCAGCAAAAUGCUUCUGCAGGCGCUCUACAGGCGCCUUCAGCUGUACAGUCCAAUCCCAUGCAAGCUGUUCCUGGACAACAGCAACUUCCUUCGAAUGUAACACCGCAAAUGCUGCAGCAGCCUGUCCAGCAGAUGCUGUCACAAGCACCACAGUUGCUACUCCAACAGCAGCAGGCAGCUAUACAGUCCAGUUAUCAAUCUUCACAGCAGACGAUUUUUCAGCUUCAGCAACAGCUGCAGCUACUGCAGCAGCAGCAGCAGCACCAGCAGCAACCUAACUUAAAUCAGCAGCCACAUACGCAAGUUCCUAAGCAACAGGGACAGCCGGUGCAAUCUAAUACCCCUGGUGCUCCGGCUGCCAUGAUGACGACAAAAAUAAAUGCAAUUCCACAGCAGGUCAAUUCGCCUGCAGUUUCUUUAACUUGCAAUUGGACCGAACAUACCUCACCGGAAGGUUUUAAAUAUUACUACAAUAGCAUAACUCGAGAGAGUAAGUGGGAGAAGCCUGAAGAAUAUAUACUGUAUGAGCAGCAGCAGCAGCACCAGAAACUUAUUUUACUUCAACAGCACCAACAAAAGCUUGUUGCGCAGCAACUUCAGUCACCUCCUCAGGCUCAAACUAUUCCGCCUAUGCAAUCUAUGCAACACCAUCCCCAGUCACAGCAAGGACAUAACCAAAUGCAGAUGAAACAGCAGGAUUUGAAUUAUAAUCAGUUACAGGCAACUGGCACGAUUGAUCCCAGUAGGAUUCAGCAGGGAAUUCAAGCUGCUCAAGAGCGUUCUUGGAAAAGUUGACUGCAGGUGGACGAAUGAUGUGUCAGCCAAGACUCCAGUCUCAGGAAUGUGCUCCAGCAAAACCUGCCGCUUCCGUCUGUGACAGUGUUUUUUGCCUUCGCGCGGAUGGCCAUGUUGACUCUUGCGGUCAUUGUAACUCUGAAUUUAGCUUAGAUUAGUGCCUAGAUUGUAGAUCCUAUGUGUGUAAAAUGUUUGCAGUCUAGGCCUUGUAUCACUGUAACAUUGCCGAUUAGAAUGGCAGCUGUGAAUCGCUGUAACAUUCCGUGUUUUUAUUUACCUUUUUUAUGGCCAGAAUUGAUGUCCUCAUAUGCAUCAGCAUUGCUAUUUUUUAUUUUUUACCUGGAUGUUGGUGCUGUUCUUCGUAAGAAUUUAGAUCGCUUCAUUUGCCCAGCAGUGGUACCUCCUAACCCGGGGCCAAACCGGCAACUUCGGAAACUUCUGUACUCUCUGAACCACCGGAAGUCAAGGUUAUGGCACGAUCGUUAAUCAGAUCUUGUUUCUCGUGGGCAGACAGGGCAUUUGGAAAGGGAAAGGUCUGAAAAAACCUUACUCCAAGUCUGUAGAGAACCUUGUCCUCUAAAUCCCUGAAAUUAGCG